rnacentral:lncRNA from 7 species
GCCCCAGCCCGGCCGGCCGCGGGCUGCUGCCGCCGGUUGCGCUCGCUGCGGGCCGGCUGCGCGAGAGCUGCCUGUUUGUCCAGGUUGCAGGCUCUAUGGCUCGUGAGGCAGCGCUUAGAAGAACAGUCGCUUGGAGCUGUGGGCUACGCGAGCCUGCAGCUCUGCUUUUGGUUCGGCUACAUCUGCUUUGGCUCUGGGCUUUGGAUCAGAGGAUGAAAGGAGUUGAGCAGCAGAGGUCUCUCCUUCCAGAUGUAGUGACUGCUGUAGCAAGCUGAGGUGGUGCACAUGAUAUCCAUGGAGCAAACCCAAAGGAACUGGAUUUUCUCCCCAUUCUUGGACCAGGAUUUCUAAGACAACUUUGUAAAAGAAAGUUCUUGGGAGAUCUCUUCCCUGUGACCUGUCUGUGAGGAAUAAAAGCCCUGCUUU